AAAGAUGUGCUCACAAAGAAAGCCCUUGGAAGAUUUUACCAAGAAUUUUCAUUGUUGCUGAUACAAGGUCUAUGUUAUUGACAGAAAUUGUAUUGUCCAAGAGGAUUAUUAUACAGGAUCGAUAAAUCUAUAUUAGAAUCAAGGAUAAUCAUUGAAGUACAAUAGGAUAGUUGGCCAAGGAUUAAUUCCUUUGAAUUUUAAGGGAUAAUUGUUAUUAAUUCUCAAGAUGUGACAGAUUCAAUUCUUAAUUCAAUUAUUCUUAAUUCCUUUUUUCCUUUUGAAAAAUUAAAUUGAUCCUCGUUCUGAGAAAUUUCUCUCAAUAACCUUACAAUUAGCACUUUAAAUUUGAUAAUUUUACCAGUUGGAUAAAAAUUGUAUACAACUGUUGACGCAACGGGACUUUUUCCAGACGUAAUGUAAACGUCAAUAAUUUCCAAGAAAAAACGAGAAAAGAAGAAAAAAAAAGAGGGAAGAAACGGGCAGAGAAAGAUCUGUCGGUCGUAAAUCGAACAUUGAAUACAAAUGAGGUGGAACUUCCUGAGCUUGGAAGAACAGAGAACGCGUGGCCGCGAGACGACAUCUAUCGUGUUUCAACCAUGAUAAUAAUAAAUGGAGCGAGCUUACGUGCGCGAUACACUGGCGGACGCGAAGGUUUUCACCUUCGUUCACGCGGAUAUGUAAAUAAACAUUACUACUAUUACUGCUGCUGCCGCUGCUGAUCGAAUUUGAUAUUUUCUUUUUCCGUGUAUAUUCGCCAAUUUACGCUGAUAUCUUUUGUUACAAGCUCGAGCUCUAUCAGUCCCUAUUUACAUUUUUAAAUUCGUCUCGCGUCUUUGAAAAAAAAUUUGCACCGUAUAAUUUCAUCCUGUGUAUUCCUUCCUCGUUAUUUACACCGUGUUUCAGCCUUAUCUUCUUUUUUAAAAAUAAAGUUCCAUUAAGGACGUCGACGGUGAAUGAAGGCAAAAAAAAUAAAUCGAGCUUAUCUCAAUGGAAGGGGAAAUUUGAAAGGGAAGAUGGAAAUUGUCUCUCUCUCUCUCUCUCUCUCUCUCUCUCUCUCUCUCUCUCUCUCUCUCUUUCGUUCUCUGUGAACGACGUUAUUCUCGAUAUCGGUGACGAAGAAUCUUCACCGGUGACGUAAGAAAAAAAAAAAAAAAA